AAGCUAACUUCCGCUUCUCCCAACCAAACAGGGCCAUAGUAUACGGGGAAAUGAAGCAAAAAUUAGGGUAUCUGUGGAGGAGACGGAAUCAAAUCAGUAGAGAGGUUUCAAGGUAUGGAUUUCUGAUUGAGCGGUUGAAUAUAUGUGUGUGUUUGAACGAUGAUGGUGGAGGAUUUAUACGGUGCCGCAACUGGUGGUGGCUAUGUGUGGGUUCGAAAGAGUUGCAGGGGGUUUGGGGUUGUUGAUGCCUAAAUUGAAAGCGGUAGUGGCUGGUAUGUGCGAUGGACUGCAUAAUCGCGUAUUGAUGAAGACGAGCGGCGGCGUAGCCGCAUCUGGCCAGAGGACUCGCACAGCGGCGUUACCACGUUCAGAUGAAGCCAACAGUGGCUAUGGCUGGGAAUUCAGGAAGCAAUUGUGUGAAGGGUUGGUGAAGGGAGGGGUGCAGGCAAGCUGUUUAAUUAAGAGGAGUGUAUUGGAUUGGGAUUUUAAAGCAUUUUUUUGCAUUCAUGAAAUCCGAGGGUAUUCGAUUGAGAUUGUUUGAAAUCCAUUAAAAUCUUGAGGUAUUCAAUUGGGAUUUCAAAUUAUGCUACAAAAUCUGGUGGUAUUCAAUUGGGAUUUUAAAUUAUGCUUUAAAAUCCGAUGGUAUUCAAUUGGGAUUGUUUAAAAUCCAUUAAAAUCUGAUGGUAUUCAAAUGCUGAUGGAUUUUUUUUCAUUUCAUAAAAUGAUGGAUUUUGUGGCAUUCUUCAGUGUAUUUUAAGUUUUUUGAAAUCCCAUCAAAAUCAAUAGGAUUUUGAAGCAUUGUACCUAAAUCCCAUCAACUCUGCGACAUUUUAUCAAGAAUCCGCACAAAAUCAAAAUCCCAUACAAUCAUUAAAAUCCAUAGACUAAAAACAAUCCAUUAAAAUCCCAAUCGAAUACACCCCCGUAAAUGCCCGUAAGAGAGAGAAGCUAGCGAAGGUGUGGUGUUGGGCAGUGUUAGCGUGGUUUGGCCCUGGAAUAAGUUGUGCAGAGUCAUAGGAAAAUUACUAAGGAUUAUACAAGUUGCAGAUCUACAAGCUUAGACAGAGUUGCAAGGGAAUAUAGAAUUUUACCGAUGACAUUUGGAUCCAAAAGUUCAUUAAUUGUUCCUCUUUUAAUUCCUCAGUUCCUUCCCUGCUCUGUCUCAUUUGUCCUGCUGUGCAUUAAUUAUGGCCUUUUGUCAUCUCUACGGUACAAAUGGGCAGAGCUGUUAACUCUCAAGUCUUUUCUUGACUCUAAGUCUUCACCGAGCCUCUCAUUAGUCUGUACAAAUUGAUUUCUCGAGCUUCUGCGACUAUUCUCACUUGAUUGAAGACAUAUAACACAUACCAGUGAUAUUUUUGUGUUGGUUGUAAAUUGAUUUCUCGAGCUUCUGCGACUAUUAUCACUUGAUUGAAGGUGUCUUGUUCACUCUUGGGGGGCAGAAACGCAACUCGAUGAAGGAGAGAACAAUUAUUUUUAUUGUGACAUCUCUCCUGUAUAAUAAUUUUAUUUGUGUAAUUAGUGAUUUUUAUUGAAUAGAAUUAGUGAUUUAUUUUUAGUUUUAUGGAAGUGUAUAUUAUGACUUGUUUCAAUUAUAUGAGAAUAAUUUAAAUUUUCCAUUUAA